GGGGAUUUAGCUCAGUGGUAGAGCACUCGCCUAGCAAGCACAAGGCCCUGGGUUCGGUCCCCAGCUCCA
rnacentral:tRNA from 1 species